rnacentral:tRNA from 1 species
GGAGACGUGGCUCAUCAGUUAAGAGCACUGGCUGCUCUUCCAGAGGACCUGGGUUCGAUUCCCAUCACUCCCA